rnacentral:SRP_RNA from 1 species
ACUAGGCAUGAUGGUGCUUGUAAUCCCUGCUACCAGGGAGACUGAGGCUGGUGGAUCACUUGAGCUCGAGAGUUCUGAACUACAGUGGGAUAUCCACACUAGGUCCAGUAUCAGUAUGGUGAGUCCCCAGGAGUGGGAGGGUCAUCAGGUUGUGUGAGGAGGGGUGAACCAGCCAUGGUCAGAAAUAGAGCAGGUCAAACAUCCUGUGCUGAUCAGUAAUGGGAGUAGCCCUUGGUAUCUCCAGCGUGGGUGAGAGAGGGGAGACCUAGUCUCAA